ensembl:snRNA U6 U6 spliceosomal RNA
GUACUCACUUUGCAGCAUAUAUUCUAAUGUGGGACAGAUACAGAGAAGAUAAGCGUGGCUCCUAUGCAAGAAUGAUGGGCAAAUUUGUGACGCAUUCCAUUUUUAA